GCAAUUGAGCGCCAGUGAGGUCAAGGCGGUGUCCUGGGAGCCCAAUAUCGGCUUUGAAAAGUGCCAACAUCCUGGGCCGGAGGAGCCCGUGUAAAAUGCG
rnacentral:sRNA from 1 species